AGAGUUUGAUGUUGGCUCAGUGCAAUUGCUAUUUAGAUGCAUAAUACAUGCGAAUUAAACGGUAAUAAAUGUAAUAAAAUAUGUUUAAAACAAAUGUAGUGAACUCGUGAGUAAGUAAUAGUAAUAUGAACUAUAAUUAAGGUUAAAUACCUAAAAUAAAGAAUGAGAUUGAGAAAUCAAUUGGUUAUAGUCAAGCUAUUAAGAAUAUUAGGUAGUAGGAUAAGUAAGAGAUUAACCUAGCCAAAGAUAUAAAGUUGGUUAUAAGAAGUAAGCCCAAUCACGUUGAUAAUGAAAGAGCAAUCAAUAUCUUAAUUAAGAUACAGCAGUAAGGAAUAUUCGUCAAUGAGCGAAAGCUUGAACGAGCAAUCUAAAAAAGUGAAAAUUUAUAUAGAAAAAAGAAAUGAGAGAUCAUAAAUAUAUAAAAAUAAUGAGUAAAUAUAAAACUUUAACAUAAUAUAAAAUAAUGAUAUGAUAUUAUGAAAAAGUCCUAACCAAAAGACGUGCCAGCAGUUGCGGUUAUACGUCAAGGACAAGUAAUGCACAUUAUAGGCUUAAAGGGUAAGUAGAAUGGUUCUUAAAAUAUAAGAAAAUCCAAAAUUAAUUAAUAAAUAAAAGAAUUAAUAAAGAUAAAACUAGAGUUAUAAAAUAAGAUAUAAGAAUUAUAAGAGUAAUGGUUAAAUAUUUUAAUACUUAUGAGACUACUAAUAAAUGAAAAUAUAUAUCAAAAUUAUAACUGACAUUGAGGUACGAAAGCUAAAGUAGCGAAACGGAUUAGUUACCCGUAUAGUUUUAGCAGUAAACGAUGAAUGUUAAAAAUUUAAGUGAAAACGAAAACAUUCCGCCUGGGGAGUAUAAACGCAAGUUAUAAACUCAAAACAAUAGACGGUAUAAGUUAUACACAGUGGAUCAUGUAAUUUAAUGCGAUAAUCCGCGAAAACCUUACCAUUUCUUGUAAAAUUCGAAUAGAAUAUCAAGUGUUACAUAGCUGUCUUCAGUUCAUGCCGUGAGGUUUAAGGUUAAGUCCAUAAAUGAACGAAAUCCUACUUAUUAGAAAACUAAUAAUGUGUAAUAUAGAUAGUAUAUUAUUAAUAGGAUUAAGACAAGUCCUCAUGACCUAAAUGAAAUGGGCUAUAUACGUGAUACAAAUAUAUAUACAAAAUCAAGUAAUAUAGUAAUAUAUAACAAAAGAUAAAAAAUAUAUAAAAUAUUUAUUAAUAUAUUAAUAAUAUAUUAAUUUGAAUCAUAUACUGUAAUUCGUAUAUGUGAAAAAGGAAUUGUGAGUAAUACGUAAUUAAGUACAUUACGGUGAAACAUUCUCUUAUGCGUACUAAUCACUCAUCAUUCGCUUGAAUAAUUUACAUAUUAAAGUAUAUAUAUAAUAUUUAUAAUUUAAAAUUUAAUUAUUUUAAUGUUCAUUUGAACUAAUGUGUAUCUCACAUUUAUUAAUAUUUAUUAUUAAUAUAUAUUAUGUACUAAAUUUAACAAGUG
rnacentral:rRNA from 1 species